GAUGAACGCUGGCGGCGUGCCUAAUACAUGCAAGUCGAGCGAACAGACGAGGAUCUUGCUCCUCUGACGUUAGCGGCGGACGGGUGAGUAACACGUGGAUAACCUACCUAUAAGACUGGGAUAACUUCGGGAAACCUGAUCUAACACCGGAUAAUAUAUUGAACCGCAUGGUUCAAUAGUGAAAGACGGUUUUGCUGUCACUUAUAGAUGGAUCCGCGCCGCAUUAGCUAGUUGGUACGGUAACGGCUUACCAAGGCAACGAUGCGUAGCCGACCUGAGAGGGUGAUCGGCCACACUGGAACUGAGACACGGUCCAGACUCCUACGGGAGGCAGCAGUAGGGAAUCUUCCGCAAUGGGCGAAAGCCUGACGGAGCAACGCCGCGUGAGUGAUGAAGGUCUUCGGAUCGUAAAACUCUGUUAUUAGGGAAGAACAAAUGUGUAAGUAACUAUGCACGUCUUGACGGUACCUAAUCAGAAAGCCACGGCUAACUACGUG
rnacentral:rRNA from 1 species